UACGGGGGGGGCAAGCGUUGUUCGGAAUUAUUGGGCGUAAAGGGCUCGUAGGCGGCCAACUAAGUCAGACGUGAAAUCCCUCGGCUCAACCGGGGAACUGCGUCUGAUACUGGAUGGCUUGAAUCCGGGAGAGGGAUGCGGAAUUCCAGGUGUAGCGGUGAAAUGCGUAGAUAUCUGGAGGAACACCGGUGGCGAAGGCGGCAUCCUGGACCGGCAUUGACGCUGAGGAGCGAAAGCCAGGGGAGCAAACGGG
rnacentral:rRNA from 1 species